GCUUUUUAAAUUAAUAAUACAAGGUAUAUUAGAAUAUAAAUUAUAAUUUAUGAAUUAUAAAAAAAAUACAAAUAUUGAUGUCAUAAGUUUUCAUUGUAAUAACUUUUCUUUGAAAUGCAUAGUCAUUAUCUGUCUAGUAGCUUUUGCAUUCUACAUGAAAAAAUUUUUUUGGCAAGAGAUGUAUCCAAUCUUGAACAGGUUCAAUAAUUUCCACAGUAUAUGUGAAGUUCCCUCUUCUAAGGACACUUUUUAAGGUCCAAAGAGAUGAAAAUGUGAUGGGGCAAGCUCUGAACUAAAUGGUGGAUAGAAAGAAUAACCUAUUUCAAUUUUUGAAUCAUGGCUAUUAUAUGAGAACUGAUAUGAGAAUGGAUAUUGGUCCAAUAUUGUAGUUGUUCUAUCACAAUGCUAUCCACUCUGCCAAUACUGAUAUUUAAAAUUGAGGCAAUAUCCAAAACUGUUGAGAAUCGAUCAUCAUGAACAACUGCAUCAACUUGUUCGGCCAUCUCUGUCCUCAUCAAUGUUCUCAGAUGUUGUGAAUGAGGUUCUUUCGUGGCAUGUUUGUGACUAGGGUUUAUACAAAAACCGACUUUUUAAAAAACCGG
rnacentral:lncRNA from 1 species